AAAGAAUAUAUCCUUAAGCAGGCAGGAAGACUGCUGGCCAUGGCGCUGUAGGCAGGGAGACUGCAGCUAUGGCACUGUAGGCAGGGAGACUGCUGGCCAUGGCACUGUAGCUUCCCAUGCCAGCCUGGGAAGCUGAGAUAACCACCCCGGGCUUCCUGCCGUGACUCUGUUUCAAAAACUGGAAAAAGGAAGAGAGAGGGAGGGAGGGAGGAAGGAAGGAAGAAAGAGCAGAUGAGCCCAGGAAAACAUUGAGUUCAUGUGCAGUCAGUGUGUUUGUAUGAAGAGCACACACAACCGUUGAGAAUGAAAUUGCCCGCAGCCAGGUGGCAUAGUGGAGCAGGCCUUCAAUCCCAGCAGGACUCCAAAGGCAGAGGCAGGUGGAUCUUUGUGAGUUUGGUCUACAAAGCAAGUUCCAGGACAGCCAGAGCUAGACAGUGAGACCCUGUUUUGGGAAGGGAGGAAAAACCCCAGACAACAACAGCACAGGUGCCACAGUUCUCACCAUGGUUGCCAUCUUGCCUGCCUGCCUGCCUGCCUGCCUGUCUCUCUUCCCUCCCUCCCUCCCUCCCUCUCUCUUUCUCACUCUUCAUUAUUUUGUUUGUUGGGUUUUGGAGACGGGGUCUCACUAGGUAGCCUGGUCUACACAGAGGGUUGAAUUGCGGAUCCCUCUGCAUCAUCUCCCUGAUGCUGGGAUCCUAGGCUGAGCCUCACGCUUGUCUUGCUUGUGGGUUUGUGUUUCAAAUGGUCCACUGACCUCUCUCCUGCCCAGAGAGUGAGCCGCCAUGUAGAGCCCGGAAGGGCGCUGGCUCCCUGUGGGUGGUGGGUCUGCAGGGCCGCCUCCGUGGUUGUGGUUGGCAGUUUGGAACUUUAAGGACGCUCUUGUCUGUCUCCGGUGACUCAGCCUCUGGGAAUCCACACUGAGGGAGGACAAGGCUCCCAUCCUACUGGUAAAGGGGAAAACAUGUGGGAUGUGGCUGCCUGAGGAUGCUACGGACUCUGGGUCCUAAUGCUGCCGUGGGCUGCUGCUGUCCAGUGCAAAGCACCGAUCUGUGGUUGGGACAGAGGUUCGUGGCCCCUGGAGUGGGAACGUUUUUUCACCUGUGCAGGGGAACUACUGGUUUCUAGUCUGUGGCUGAGGGUGGUUGGUUUGCAUGAGCUGCCACAGACUUCCUCAGAGAAUUUUAGUCUUAGCCAGAGAUUUUACAAUGAGUGCAAUUGGUUAUUCUGUUUUAAAUUGAAAUUAAAUUUUACUAAUUUUCUC
rnacentral:lncRNA from 1 species